UGCCCCCUGCCCAGCCCCAUAGCCUCUCAGCCACUUGCCCUCUUCGCCGUCUCUCCUGCUUGUUCUGCUGGCCCGCAAUCGAAGCAGCAGGCAAGCUGCAAAGAGCUCCUUUUCUCCCGCCUCUCAGCUGAUCGGCGGGUGGGCGGGGCUUCCACGGAGGCCUCCGUGUAGGCCGCAGUGAAGCCUGAACUCGAGUAGGGCCCAAGCAAGCCAGGAAGGAGGAGGCAGCCAGAGUGUUCUCUGCAGCAGAAGACCCCUUGCUGCCCUGCUUAACCCAGACCAGCAUUUGCCAGAUUCCAAAGAAGUCCAGUCUGCUGCAUGUGUCCAAGUGGUUUCGGGUAGGCAGAAUUGGGAAAGACUGGGGAUGGAUACCAAGUCCACAGCAAACAGCCUGGGCUGGGACCAGCAUUGCAGCAUAUGUAAAUUGGACACUGCAGGGGCAACCUGGAGCAGGGCGCCUGCAGAUUAGAGCAAUCCCUGAUGGUUCCACUCAUGACUGAAUGCUUGCACCCCAGGGGAAAGGACUGGGGCCCCCUUCUCCUACAAACUGGUGGGGAAGGAGAGAAUAUUUCUUCAUGCAAUGCAAAUUAUGGAAGUUACUGCCACAGAAUGUGAUGCUGGCCAUGGACUUGGAUGGCUUCUCAAUGGAAUGUUACAAAUUCAUGGAGGACAAGUCUAGCAAUGGAUAUUAAUCAUGAUAGCUAAGUGAA